rnacentral:ribozyme from 11 species
GUGCAAAAGAAGCAAAAGUAUUGUUGCAGGCAAAUAAAAUGACUAGAGGGACAAAGGGUCCCUUUUCUGUAGUCUGUUGCUCUCUCUCUCUUUUCUCUCUCAUUAUCUUCUUUCCUUGUUUGUUUCUUUACAUAGAGGGGCGAGGAAUUUAGACAAAAGCCAGUGGGCUGAGUCAGGAGCAGUACGUCAAGAAGGGAAGA